AGUGAACGCUGGCGGUAGGCCUAACACAUGCAAGUCGAACGGCAGCACAGUAAGAGCUUGCUCUUACGGGUGGCGAGUGGCGGACGGGUGAGGAAUACAUCGGAAUCUACUUUUUCGUGGGGGAUAACGUAGGGAAACUUACGCUAAUACCGCAUACGACCUACGGGUGAAAGCAGGGGAUCUUCGGACCUUGCGCGAUUGAAUGAGCCGAUGUCGGAUUAGCUAGUUGGCGGGGUAAAGGCCCACCAAGGCGACGAACCGUAGCUGGUCUGAGAGGAUGAUCAGCCACACUGGAACUGAGACACGGUCCAGACUCCUACGGGAGGCAGCAGUGGGGAAUAUUGGACAAUGGGCGCAAGCCUGAUCCAGCCAUACCGCGUGGGUGAAGAAGGCCUUCGGGUUGUAAAGCCCUUUUGUUGGGAAAGAAAAGCAGCAGGUUAAUACCCCGCUGUUCUGACGGUACCCAAAGAAUAAGUACCGGCUAACUUCGUG
rnacentral:rRNA from 1 species